rfam:Canis lupus familiaris chromosome 4, whole genome shotgun sequence.
AAGACUAUACUUUCAGGGAUCAUUUCUAUAGUUUGUUAAUUUUUUGUCAGGACAUUGGCAGCUUCCCUUUACUCUUGCCACUAAGGG